AGCAGCCGCGGUAAUUCCAGCUCCAAUAGCGUAUAUUAAAGUUGUUGCAGUUAAAAAGCUCGUAGUUGAAUUUCGGGAUCAUCAGGUUGGUCUUGCCUCUGGUAUGUACUGGUCUCACUGAUUCCUCCUUCCUGAUGAACCGUAAUGCCAUUAAUUUGGUGUUGCGGGGAAUCUGGACUGUUACUUUGAAAAAAUUAGAGUGUUUAAAGCAGGCUAACGCUUGAAUACAUUAGCAUGGGAUAAUGAAACAGGACGAUCGAUCCUAUUUUGUUGGUUUCUAGGAUUGACGUAAUGAUUAAUAGGGAUAGUUGGGGGCAUUAGUAUUCAAUUGUCAGAGGUGAAAUUCUUGGAUUUAUUGAAGACUAACUACUGCGAAAGCAUUUGCCAAGGAUGUUUUCAUUAAUCAAGAACGAAAGUUAGGGGAUCGAAGACGAUCAGAUACCGUCGUAGUCUUAACCAUAAACUAUGCCGACUAGGGAUCGGAUGAUGUUAAUUUUUAAUGACUCAUUC
rnacentral:rRNA from 1 species